rnacentral:rRNA from 1 species
UGAACGCUAGCGGCAGGCUUAAUACAUGCAAGUCGUGGGGCAGCGCAGUGUAGCAAUACAUGGGCGGCGACCGGCAAACGGGUGCGGAACACGUACACAACCUUCCUACAAGUGGGGAAUAGCCCAGAGAAAUUUGGAUUAAUACCCCGUAACAUAUAAAGAUGGCAUCAUUUUUAUAUUAUAGCUACGGCGCUUGUUGAUGGGUGUGCGGCUGAUUAGGUAGUUGGCGGGGUAAUGGCCCACCAAGCCUGCGAUCAGUAGCUGAUGUGAGAGCAUGAUCAGCCACACGGGCACUGAGACACGGGCCCGACUCCUACGGGAGGCAGCAGUAAGGAAUAUUGGACAAUGGGCGCAAGCCUGAUCCAGCCAUGCCGCGUGAAGGAUUAAGGUCCUCUGGAUUGUAAACUUCUUUUAUAAGGGACGAAAAAAGGGAAUUCUUUCUCACUUGACGGUACCUUAUGAAUAAGCACCGGCUAACUCC